ensembl:lncRNA
CUGAGUGGCAUUUACUGCUCAUUAGCUCAGAUACCUUGGAGAGAUUCUGCCUAAACUACUAUAAAUCUCUUAUUUGAGCAGCAUGUAGAUGGUUAUGUAUAUUCAUGAGGUGAAAGAAAAAAGCUGGUAUGUUUCUGAAAGGAGAGAGCAGCAAAAGGCCAGAGAGUUUAAAAUGUAGCUCCAUGUUAACUGGAGCAUCCUUAACAAGUGUACCACACACACACCCCUUCUUGAGCCCUUGGCAGACAUCAGUAAUCAAUCACUGUAGAUGCUCACUGCUGAGACUCUGCUCUCUGAGUCUGUUUCAGCUCAGGGCUCCAGGGAGCCACUACCUGUCCUUCAGUUUUGACUCUCCUAAAGAAACUGCCAUCCCUGGCCUAGUUUCCCCAAUUAGCUGGAGACAGCAUGCUAAGUACUUUUAGUUGUAUUCCCUGCCCUUCUUCCUGCCACCUUGUCUCAGAUUCCAGCUUUCCUUUCUCAAGGCACCCUUUAUGACCUUCUCUCUUUGUGACCCUCCAUGGUCACAACUUGCCCAAGAGGCGCUGCACAGUUAGGAUGACAUUCAGUAUAUUUAACAACUGGUUCAGCCCGGGUACUGAUCAACCAGAAUGGCUCCCCGCCCAUAAACAGCCAUGAAGACAGCCCUUCACAUGGUGCAUGUUACCUUAGAGAAGCAUGGCAGCUGGCCAGGGCGUUGACAUUUUCAGGCAGUGUUUGCAAGAUAUACUGACCUGUAUACUCUAUAAAAACAGAACUGUCUGGAAAUUCCAAAGGACUUUUGAAUUAGCAUGACUGCUCAGUUCAGAUUUAUGGCCUUCAUGCUGAUGGGCUCAGCGCAGUCCUUGUCCUCAUGAAGGGCCACAGAACUCCAUGAGUCAGCGCCACCCUCUGGAAACCUCCCAUGGGACCCAGCAACAAAGGUGCCACCAAUCCCUGGAAGGCUGCAUCAGUGUGCUGCCCGAAGGUGAGACUUCUUGAUGGAACUGGCAUGCCACAACCACUGACUCCAACAGCCUCCGCCGAAUUCCUCAGCUGCCAGAACUUUCGCUUACGGCGAAAGCACAACCGUGUGGCUGGAAGUGAAAUUUGCCGUCUGCCCUAUCUGGCAGUUUCUGCACGCGGAGUGUUACUAUGUUCAAAACAUUAACCUGCCUGCGAGUGGCUCAUUUACAGAGCGUCUCUCUUCCUAGAGCCGCUGAUGGGUGGCCAUGGCGAAGCUCUUCGCCCUAAUGUGCACUUUCUCUCGCUCGUCCCACCGAGACACUUUGCGUGCUGAGCGCAGCUGCCUGUACGGAGUGUCUACCUCAUCUGGCACAGUUCUCUCCACCCUAGAAGAAACAGCCCUGCCCUACACACCAGGGUGGAAAGAAGAUUUCUGCUCAAAGCUCGCAACCUUUCUCUGAGGUGGUGGCAUACGGAGACCGAAAAAUGAACGUGCUGUUUCUUCUUUUAAAUGGCGCUGAUGAGAAGUCAGUCUCAGACAGACUUUUGACACAUGGAGGAUCAAGCUUUUCCUGUUCCUCUCUGCUGCCCUGAAACCGUUCAUUGAUUUAACCAAUAUCAACGAGCCACCACUAUGAGUGUCGCAGAUGGAGAUGCAGCCUCGUCGACAUAACUGUGCGGCUCCUGGAGAGGAUCUUGCUGUCUAUCUAGUGACAUGUUAUGUCUAACCCCUGGGGUCUCGGAGGGGACCAAGAAAUAGCACCCAUCUAUCUUGACCAAAUUCCAAACUGAUUGAGAAAUAAAGAGUAUCCGGCAGCUGGUGCCCAACGUGUAUCAUCUUUUGUUACUGAGAAGGGUGAAGUAGUGUUACUGCCCAAGUGGGCUCGUCUGCUCCCCGCAAGGCAUGCCACUAGUCAGGAGGCAAGGUGGUAGGAGAGAAAGGACUCUAUUACAGCUUGCUAGCAAGGGGAAGAGGGCCAACUAAUGUCUGAAAGAACCACCUUACAGAACAAAGACUACAGGCCAAUUAUAUAGCGGGCUGGUCUCCAGGUCCAG